rnacentral:lncRNA from 1 species
AGACAAUAAGCUAAGCCUCCAGGAAAGUAAAUAGUCGAAAAAUUAAUAUCUUUGUAUUUGUAAAACUUUUCUGAUUGAGUCCAAUUAAUAGUCCUAAACUACAGAUUAAAGACACAACAUAUUUAGCUUCUCCAUCCUUAUUUUCAGACAUAUAACACGACUACAGCGGUCAUCUAAAUUCCAGAGUCUAUUACAAACGAGAUGAUUUCAAUUUUGAAAUUAUGAAUUUUCCUUAACUUAGCAGCAAUUUACCAACUUCAUCUUCGUAUAUAAAGAGUAUACAUAAUUGAACUCAUACGAUAUUUAUGAUAUAAUAGCAUCUUCUCUUGUGAAACGUCAUCAGCAUCUGAGUGAAAUAUUAAUGAGCAUGGAUUUUGUAAAAGACAGUCUCGUCCUAUUUCUCAAAAAGUUCAUUUAAAAGAACCCAGGCCUAAUAGAUAAAUAUUCAGUGUCUACUUCACAAAUAAUACAGAACCGUUUUUAAUAUAGAUUCUAGGGAUUGGCUAGGUUGAGAAUGUUAUCAACUUCACAGUUUUACCUUCAUUUUUUUUUACUUUUGUGUUUCAUGUGUCGUAUGACUCUUGACAUUGUUGGUUAUAUGGGCAUAUAGCCGUUAGUUAUUCUGUCAUUAUUAUUUUUCGAUAUACCGAAGGUUAGCAUUGACACUCAGUCAUCUCCUGGAUAAAAUUACAAGAAUGACUUAUCCUGAUUAAUUAAUGUGUGUACUUUAUAUAUAUAUUUAUUUCCGGACAUCUCGCUAAAUAAAAUAAUCAAAAUGAAUAAAAACUAAAUAAAAUAGUUUUGUUUGCCUAAAAGAAAACUCAGCAGACGUUCCUAAACUGUGACGACAUUGCAUAAGUUGAUCGUUUUGCGUCUAUUGUAUAUUUUCUUAGCUUGUAAAUAGAAUAUAUGUAAAACAAUGCUUACAAAAUUCAUAUUUGAAUAUAUGU